CCCAGUUCGAAGCAACGGUUAAUAAACAAAAUAUUUAGUAACACUAUACCCUAUUUGUUCUAUGAAAAUCGCUUCCAUGGAUCCAUGGUAGUAAUAUAUAUUUCUAUAGCUUCAUCUUCAUCUGACAUAUAUUAUUCAAUAAAAAAAUUAUCCAGAAAUCUUAAUUAAUAAUUUUAAAUUGAAAUUUAACUACCAAUGGGCUCCUUAUAUUAUUCACAACCUUUAAAGCACGCCCCGGCGGUGGCGGCCUGCCUGACUUGAUUAAUAAAAAGAUGGACUCAGGAAAAAAGAUUAUUAAUAAAAAAGAUAAGACACCUGUGGCCCCACACACCACUGACACCUCAUCUUCAUCUUCCUCCCUCUGUUUCUCUCUCGCACGGGCAGAGUACAAGCAGCGCCUCCGCCCUCCCCACUACAUCCCGCCGCCAGCUCAGGGACCCUUCCCCUCCCUUGUUGUGCGCUUCUUUGGCAGGGACUGCACCUCUCCAGUCCCCACCGCCGUUGAGAUGGCCGCCCUUCCCUUUGCCUCUCCACCUCCGUCGAUGGAGGCGCAGACUUUGUCUCCACCAGAUCCUCGGUCGCGGACUUGACGCGAUUGAUGGAGGGCUCUGCAGCGCCUAACUCCUCCUCUUGCGGGACAAGAUGCGAAAUCGGAGCAAGCGCUGAGGAGCGCCAGUGAAGACGCCCUGCUCCGAUGGGUUGGGCAUGCUGCGAGCCUCACCGUGUGGUGUGGCCAAGUACGACAUGCUCCAAAGUGGAUGGUCGACGCCCUGCCCACCUCGCCCAUGACUGGUAUUUCGUCAUCCCCCUCUCUCGGUUCGGCUCUGUCCGAUGGCGUUGCCUGUGCCUCGCCGCCGCGCCGUAGCCACAUCCACAUGCUUCGCGCCACGACCGCCACAAGCCCAUGCUUGGCCGCUUUAGCUCUUGUGCAUAAGUGUGAUCUAAAUCAGAAAUGUUUGUAUGUAAUCAAUUGCUCAUGCAAUUUUAUAGGCUGUGGAAAGUGCUCUUUUACACUGAUACAGUUCAGUCUUAUGUUGGUACUUAUUUCUAGUUUAUUCACAAUGAAUAAUAUCUCUAUAUACCAUAUCAAAAUAUGUAGUUUAUGUAAUCAAUUGCAGUCUUUGUGGUACAUAAUAUCUCUAUAUAAUGUCAUAUCAAUAAGGCAUAUUUGAUUAGUCUUGCUUGGUCUGAACACUCUUACAUGUAAAUCUGGAUGCUAUAGCUAAUCAGUGCUCUCAUUUCUGACAAGAUGCACUGUUGUCUAUGUGAACUGGUUUAACGCAAGACACUGAUGUGAAUUAAUAUAAAUUGUAUAUCUGGUUGCUAGCAGUAUGUAGUUCUGAAGUACUCCCUUCGUUCCAUAAUAUAAGACGUUAUUACAUCCUAUAUACUCACAUAUUGAAUGUAAUAACGUCUUAUAUUAUGGGACAGAGUGAGUAGAAAACUUUCCAAAUCGUUGAGGCAAUCAACAUUCAUUUGCAUAGCUUUUGCAACCUAAGUUCAUCCAGGUUUAGCUCUGACAGAAACAACUAUGGGACAGGUACAACAUGAAGUUGGGUUCUAGUGUUUUAGCUAUAGUGCAGGAAAGCAAUCUUGGAUUCACUGGAUGAUGUAUACACACCAAGUGCACCUCGCUUUCAUAAUAGCAAGCAACCCCAUUCUGAGGUAUGUUCUUUUCGCCCGCCACCUUUUUAAGAGUUUGAUUAUUUCCAAUUAGCCUUCUCUGAUGUGAUGCUUGAUAACCCCAUUAUGAGAUUUUGUAUAGUCCUUUCAUUGACAUGGCCUAAAACUAACAUCAAUGAAAGGACUAUACAAAAUGGUAGGCCAUGUCAAUGUCAAUGAAAGGACUAUAAUACAAUACAUGUCAAAUGUCCCAAUGCCAUGUCAAUACAUACAAUACUCUCAAGUCUGCAAUACAAUACCAAUUGGUAGGCCAACAUUCAGAGAAGGAUGUACUGAACUUAGGUUGUAGAAGUUCAGAGAAACAUGUACUGGAUUUAGCAAGUAGAAAUUCAGAGAAGCAUGAGUGGAGGAGCCGAGUCUACCUUUUCCUGUAUGUUGUCUACCUUUUGCUAUUAUCAAUUGGGAUGUCACUUUUUUCUGAUAAGGGAAAAGACGUGCUCAGGGUCUUGUUGAUCCAGAACUUGUUGACCAUCUGACUUCCAUGCUAAAAAAGAUAGGCAUCUCCUAAAUUAUGUUGCUAAUUCUUUCGUUUAUCCAAGAUGGAUGUCAGUCCUCCCAAUUAUGUGCUUAAUAUAACAGAACAGAUUAGAGAUAUGUUCAGUGCCAUGCAUUCAGUUUCACUCAAAACACAUAAACUAUAUAUUAUAGGCCAUUGUAUUUAUUUGUACUCGGUAUAUUAAGAAAUAGGAGCACAAUUGUAGUCAUGCUUUUUUGUUACUAUUUGUAUUUCUGAAUUUUGAACCAAAUCUGCCAUGAGGAAUCUGCCCAUGAACUUGUCUGAUGUCCAUCAUUUUGGUCAUUAUUAAUUUUGUUGUCACAAGUGCACAUUCUUCCAAAUAUGGUACUCUUAAUAAUUGAAUAUGUGAGGAUAGUUGGUGUUUCAUGAAACCAGAUUGCUUUACUUGCUACAGAGUAUAGCCACCAAGGUUUGUUUCCUGUGAGCUAGCUUCCUACACCCAGCAGGGGGCUUGAUGUUAAGGUAAAGAAAACUCUGGUCAAAGUUUGUACCUGAUCAAUGUUCGUUGGCUUGUGGCGAGGGCCUCAACGUGGCGAUGGCAUCCGUGGGUCGACAGAGGAGAGCGGCAGGUGGCCACGGCGCCUCGCGCGCACAUCCAUGACUCAGCAGAUGCAGAGCUCACAUCCAUGGGGAAGUAGAGGAGAGCGGGAAGCAGCAAUGGCAGCAUGUGCUCGCGUCCUUGGGGAAGUAGAUGAGGAGAGGACGCCAGUGACUGAGUCCCCUGUUCGCAUCUGUGGGGUAGUAGAAUAGGAGCGGAAAGCGGCAACGUCGAUCCGCGUUCGCGGCAGCAGGUAGCAGAGGAGGAACGGCGGGUAGGGGCGGCGAUCUGCGCUCGCUUCCGUGGGGCAGCAGAGGAGGAGAGACAAUUUUUUUUAUCAGGAAGGAGAGACAGCUUGUAAUGAGGGAAGAGAGAAAAUUAUGGGAUAGAAAUCCCCUAUCCCGCUAAUUGAGGAGGAACGGGCGCGGGGGGCAGUCUGCUCCGGCAGAACAUUUAAUCUGGGCCGCUCGUUUGCGUGGCUGACCAUUGAUGUAAUAUGAACUGUCAGAUGUGAUUUAGUUGGAUUGAUCGAACGCCUCUGAUAAUCUCGUGUACACUUUGUGGUGUGUUCGUUGG
rnacentral:rRNA from 1 species